GACAGCUAUUCAAGGUGAUUCCCCCACAUCGAUGCCAUUGUGAAACCCUUCUCGCCCUGUGUUUUAUGGCUGUUUUCAAUGAGCCACACUGAGAUCUUGCUGUGUUUCUCCUCUCUUCCCUCCCUUGAGGGUCCUAUUUUCAUUCAUACCUUUCCUGUGCACUGGUGGCAGCCACUGCACACAGUCCCUUGUCCCAGAGAUGUGCCCCCAGCCUGUACUUCACACACACACCCUUCCUCUGUGGGGCCUGCCCUUCCUCCUGUGUCCAAACCAGUGCUCCUCACCUGAUCCCUGCCCUCAGCAUACCUCUUUACCUCCGGAUUGAGAGCUGCCCCACAUCCUCCUGCAGGAGCAUCACUAUGAAUGUAAAGCCACGUGCACUUAUGUGCUCAACAGGACGACAGCGUGCUUCCCCGAGAGCACUCAUCAGUGGUGUGCUGACGGCUGUCCUGCCCUGCAGGCUGCAGCUGACUGAUGGCAGGAGCUGACAGAGGCACUGGCAGAAAAUACUCCUCUGAGGCUGGAGGCAGGCCACCACACUUGCUUCGUGCAAGGCAGGACAUGCUGGAGGAUUAAGAGGGACCUGAGCAGCUAUCCAGGAUGCCCAAGCAGCACCCCUCCUCUGUGGGGACCCCCUCAUGGAGCAGUCUGAGCAGUCAGAACAGAGGCAAAUGUUCUUCUCUUCCCUGGCCUUACCUUUUUGCUCACU